CUACGGGUGGCUGCAGUGAGGAAUAUUGCACAAUGGGGGGAACCCUGAUGCAGCAACGCCGCGUGGAGGAUGACGCAUUUCGGUGUGUAAACUCCUUUUAUAUGUCAAGAAAAUGACGGUAGCAUAUGAAUAAGCACCGGCUAACUCCGUGCCAGCAGCCGCGGUAAUACGGAGGGUGCAAGCGUUACUCGGAAUCACUGGGCGUAAAGGACGCGUAGGCGGGUUGGAAAGUCAGGUGUGAAAUCCUACAGCUUAACUGUAGAACUGCACUUGAAACUUCUAAUCUAGAGUAUGGGAGGGGGAGAUGGAAUUUGUGGUGUAGGGGUAAAAUCCGUAGAUAUCACUAGGAAUACCUAAAGCGAAGGCGAUCUCCUGGAACAUUACUGACGCUAAGGCGUGAAAGCGUGGGGAGCAAACAGGAUUAGAUAUCCUUGUAGUC
rnacentral:rRNA from 1 species